UCGGGAAUAUUGCGCAAUGGAGGAAACUCUGACGCAGUGACGCCGCGUAUAGGAAGAAGGUUUUCGGAUUGUAAACUAUUGUCGUUAGGGAAGAAAAAAGACAGUACCUAAGGAGGAAGCUCCGGCUAACUACGUGCCAGCAGCCGCGGUAAUACGUAGGGAGCAAGCGUUAUCCGGAUUUAUUGGGUGUAAAGGGUGCGUAGACGGGCGAUCAAGCUAGUUGUGAAAUCCCUCGGCUCAACUGAGGAACUGCAACUAAAACUGGUUGUCUUGAGUGCAGGAGAGGUAAGUGGAAUUCCUAGUGUAGCGGUGAAAUGCGUAGAUAUUAGGAGGAACACCAGUGGCGAAGGCGACUUACUGGACUGUAACUGACGUUGAGGCACGAAAGUGUGGGGAGCAAACAGGAUUAGAUACC
rnacentral:rRNA from 1 species